rnacentral:rRNA from 1 species
CCUACGGGAGGCAGCAGUGGGGAAUAUUGCACAAUGGGGGAAACCCUGAUGCAGCGACGCCGCGUGAGUGAAGAAGUAUUUCGGUAUGUAAAGCUCUAUCAGCAGGGGAGAAAAUGACGGUACCUGAUCAAGAAGCCCCGGCUAAAUACGUGCCAGCAGCCGCGGUAAUACGUAGGGGGCAAGCGUUAUCCGGAUUUACUGGGUGUAAAGGGAGCGUAGACGGCAGCACAAGUCUGGAGGGAAAGGCCGGGGCUUAAACCCGGAACUGCUUUGGAAACUGUGCAGCUAGAGUGCAGGAGAGGUAAGUGGAAUGCCUAGUGUAGCGGUGAAAUGCGUAGAUAUUAGGAGGAACACCAGUGGCGAAGGCGGCUUACUGGACUGUAACUGACGUUGAGGCUCGAAAGCGUGGGGAGCGAACAGGAUUAGAUACCCCGGUAGUC